GACGUAGGGCGCGAGCGUUGUCCGGAUUUAUUGGGCGUAAAGAGCGUGUAGGCGGCUAGGUAGGUCCGUUGUGAAAACUCGAGGCUCAACCUCGAGACGUCGAUGGAAACCAUCUAGCUAGAGUCCGGAAGAGGAGAGUGGAAUUCCUGGUGUAGCGGUGAAAUGCGCAGAUAUCAGGAAGAACACCUAUGGCGAAGGCAGCUCUCUGGGACGGUACUGACGCUGAGACGCGAAAGCGUGGGGAGCGAACAGG
rnacentral:rRNA from 1 species